UUUUUUAGAUAGAGUUGAUACAAUAAGAAGACCAGACUACGCUCCUGACUUACAGGACAUUCUCCGGUGUCGUGUCUUGACGUCUGGUAUCUUUGAAACAAAAUUCCAAGUGGACAAAGUCAACUUUCACAUGUUCGAUGUAGGAGGACAGAGAGAUGAAAGGAGAAAAUGGAUCCAAUGUUUCAAUGGUAAAUUAAUUUUCAUUUAUCUUUUGAGAGAAAGAUUUCAAAAGGAUUUGAAGAACAUUUGUCAAUUGAUUGUUGUUCAUAGUUUUCCUUGGUGUAGGCUGAAACAAGUGGUUUCUUUUAUUAUUGCAAAGGGAGAGAAAAAACAACCAGAAUGAAAUCACUUAUAACAGCUCAUAUGGGUCGAUCUAAAAAAAAAAUUAAUCUCAAGCCCUUUGUUGGAGGAAGGAGAUGGGAGAUGACAGAUGUGCAACAAUACAUCUUUGUAAAAUAAUUACAUUUAAAAAAAUAAUCAUUUUACAAUGGAAUCGGUCGAAUGCCAAAGAUUUGAGAUUUUUCUUAUUUUUCUUUUCCUCCUUUUUUCGGUCACAAAGUUUUACUUUUUUUUUUUUUUUUCCACUGACGGAAUUGCCAAGAGAAGGACAAUUUUGUUAGGAAGACCUCAGCAUGUACAAUGCUCUUGAAAAUAAAAGGGGGGGGGGUCAUGAUAUCUCACGGUGGUAAGAUUUCAUGUUGCAAAAGAUCAAUUUGACCCUUCUUCACGUCAAAUAAAGCCAAAGUGUGUAUAAACCAUUUAUUAGUCAUACAUGGGGAGUAUAUUAUACACAGUAUGCACUCCUGUCAUUUGGACUUUGUACAAGCUAUUUUUCAUCAUAGACUCACUUUACAGGGAUUGCAUGUGAGCAAACAAGGUCAUAUGUGCAUUCACAUUUUGUGUUAUAUAUAGUAGGUUUAUAAAAUACAGCUUGAUGGACGUACCACUAUCCCAUUCUAUUUGACUCCAUCGUGGCUGUGUUUUUUUUUGGUUGGGUAGGGGGUUGGUGAUCUUCUCUGUUGUUCGGUUUGGGCUUUUAUUCUCGUUUUUGGUGUAUUCCAGGUAUAUUGACAAUAUAUAAAUUCAUGGAAAUACAUUUUGUGUUGAUUUCUCAUUUAUCAGACGAGAAAGAUAGAUAUGGUGAUUUCCAACAUGUUGCCAAAUUUGAUAUAAUAUUCAAAGAGGAUUUUGACUUUAACAUCAAUUGAUUUUUACGAAAGCAGGGAAAUGGAAGUUUCAUCAAAGAACAGCUUUGUGUGGAUUUUUAUUAAGUUUUGAUUUUGUGAUGUCAGAUGCAAGCAUUUAAUAUGUAUGUCAUGUAACAUAGAUUCGUAAGAUGCAAUGAAAAGCGAACAUGAUUGUACCUUUGCAUCCGUUCAAUCUAUAAUCACUCAUUUUUUCACGUACGUUUCUGUGAAAAAAUUAAUCGUGGAC